CCUACGGGAGGCAGCAGUUAGGAAUCUUCCACAAUGGGCGAAAGCCUGAUGGAGCGACACCGCGUGAAGGAUGAAGGCCCUAGGGUCGUAAACUUCUAAAAGAGGGACGAUAAUGACGGUACCUCUUGAGGAGCACCGGCUAACUCCGUGCCAGCAGCCGCGGUAAU
rnacentral:rRNA from 1 species